rnacentral:lncRNA from 1 species
ACAUGGAAAUAGGAGAAAAACAAUCAGGAUAAAGGUAUUUCAAAGAUAUACUUCUAGAAUACAAAAUAGAGUAACAUCCUUUAAACUAUACUUUGCAUUUAUGACCAACUAAAGCAUCAACAUUUGGCAGUAAAUGAAACAGAUUAGAUACUAAUGAUAGCAGUUAACAUGUACAAUUAUUUUUAAUGUUUUAUUUACACAUUUAUUUUUCCAUUGGUAAUAGUAAUACAAUACGUGCAAUACAGAAAAACAAACCUGUAUGUUACCCCUGCCCUGGGUUCUAACUAUCUUUCCAGGGGCCACCACUGUUGUCAGUCCUUGUUCAUGCUUUCAAAGAUGGUCUCAAAGAUAUUUCAGAUAUGGAAGAUCCUGUUGGUUCUAUAGGAUUACCUAAUCCACAAUGGUAAGUAGAUCAAUAUACUGUAUCAGAUACUUCAAAGAGUUUGUUCAGCAGGGCCACUAAUUUACAUGAGAAUUGCUUGAUAUUACUCUAAUAAGAGUAAU